AUUGAACGCUGGCGGCAGGCCUAACACAUGCAAGUCGAACGAGUGGAGGAAGGGAGACUAAUGUCUGGGAAACUGCCUGAUGGGGGGGGAUAAAUACUAGAAACGGUAGCUAAUACCGAAUACCAUCAGAUGUGCCCAGAUGGGAUGAGCAAGUUGGUGGGGUAACGGCUCACCAAGUCGACGCUCCAUAGGUGGUCUGAGAAGUGGACCUUCCACACUGGAACGGAGACAGGUUCCAGACUCCGAGGGGAGGCAGCAGGGGGUAAUAUGGCACAAUGGGCCCAAGCCGGAUGCAGCCUUGCCGCGUGUAUGAAGAAGUCCUUCGGUUUGUAAAGCACUUUCGGCGGGAAGACGUUACCCUCAGAGGAAGCACCGGCUAACUCCGUGCAAGCGCAGCGGUAAUUC
rnacentral:rRNA from 1 species